rnacentral:rRNA from 1 species
UUUCCCUCAGGAUAGCUGGCACUCGUUUCAAAGCGAGUCUCAUCUGGUAAAGCGAAUGAUUAGAGGCCUCUUGGGGCCGAAACGACCUCAACCUAUUCUCAAACUUUAAAUGGGUGAGAUCUCUGGCUUGCUUGAAACUUGAAGCCACGAGAUUUUAACAUUGUUAAAAAUGGAUCAGAGUGCCAAGUGGGCCAAUUUUGGUAAGCAGAACUGGCGCUGUGGGA